rnacentral:ribozyme from 18 species
GUUUUUUUUUUUCCUUUAUCAUGGUUCUUUCUGAUGAACUGUUUGACUCGGUUGUAUCGGCCUUCUUCGAGAACGACGACUUUGCUGCUGCAUUCGAAGAAUUCGCAAAGAAAAA